rnacentral:rRNA from 1 species
GAUGAACGCUGGCGGCGUGCUUAACACAUGCAAGUCGAACGAAGCACUUUAUUUGAUUUCCUUCGGGACUGAUUAUUUUGUGACUGAGUGGCGGACGGGUGAGUAACGCGUGGGUAACCUGCCUUGUACAGGGGGAUAACAGUUGGAAACGGCUGCUAAUACCGCAUAAGCGCACAGCAUCGCAUGAUGCAGUGUGAAAAACUCCGGUGGUAUAAGAUGGACCCGCGUUGGAUUAGCUAGUUGGUGAGGUAACGGCCCACCAAGGCGACGAUCCAUAGCCGACCGGGGAGGGUGCCCGGCCACAUUGGGACGGAGCCCAGGCCCAAACCCCACGGGAGGGCGGCGGUGGGAAAAAUGGCACAUUGGGCGAAAGCCGGAGGCGGCGAGGCGGGGUGGGCGAAGAGGUAUUUGGGUAUGUAAGGCGCAAUAAGCGGGGAGGUUAUGACGGUAACCGACUAAGAAGCACCGGCUAAAUACGUG